rnacentral:misc_RNA from 1 species
AUGAAGGAGAAGAAUGAAAAGAUUAUUUUAUUUCCACUGAUUGAGUAUAAGAACAAUAAAAUCCAAAGAACUCCACGAUACUUCCAAUAAGGAGUAAUAAAAAUAAGAAAAGAAACAAUAAACAUACUUGGAUGGAAUAACAAAAACGUAAUAGAAUUUUUGACAAAAAAAAAAUAUAAAAUACAUGCAGAAUUUCAAAUA